UCUCUCUCUCUCUCAUACUCGCACCCACACACAUAUUUCGUGAUCCCACAUCUCCGUUAUCAUCCCUCCACUUUCUCAACCGACUUUUUCCUUCUCUUCUCCGCCAAAUACCCCUCUCUUCCUCCGAAAUCCGUUUAAGCAAAUCUCGCUCCGCUGCAUCUCUUCCGGUACGAAAACAGCACUCUUCAUUUCCGACAGCUUUUCUUCUCGAAAACAGCAUUUCCUCUUCUUUUAGUUUCUGGAAACCAUUUGGUGAAUUUCUCAGAGUUUAGAGAGGCAUGAGGCUACACGAGGAGAUUGUACCGUUUCAUAGAAACGGGAAACGAGGAGAAGAAGAAUAUGAAGAGGAAGAAGGAGAAGAAGAGGAGGUGAUUUCUUCCAUAGAAGCUGGGUUUCUUCCAUCUCCUCCUCGUUCUCUCCAGAGGAAACUCGUUGUUGUUGGUUACGCUCUUACCUCCAAGAAAAUUAAGAGUUUCUUGCAGCCAAAGCUCGAGGGUUUAGCUAGGAAUAAAGGGAUAUUAUUUGUUGCAAUUGAUCAAAACAGGCCCCUUUCAGAUCAAGGCCCUUUCGACAUUGUGUUGCACAAGCUAACUGGAAAGGAGUGGCGACAGAUUCUUGAGGACUACAGAAGGACUCAUCCAGAAGUUACUGUUCUCGAUCCUCCAGAUGCAAUUCAACAUUUACACAAUCGCCAGUCUAUGCUUCAGUGUGUUGCUGAUAUGAAUUUGUCAAACUCCUAUGGUAAAGUAGAUGUUCCCAGGCAAUUAGUUAUCAAAAAAGAUGCAGCAUCCAUCCCUGAUGCAGUCACAAAAGCUGGGCUGAUGCUACCAAUUGUUGCAAAGCCACUAGUUGCCGAUGGGAGUGCAAAGUCCCAUGAAUUAUCACUUGCUUAUGAUCAGCCCUCCCUUCAGAAACUUGAACCUCCACUUGUUCUUCAGGAGUUUGUAAACCAUGGAGGUGUUCUCUUCAAAGUUUAUAUUGUAGGGGAGGCUAUUAAGGUGGUUCGGCGGUUCUCUUUACCUGAUGUCUGUAAACGGGAACUCUCCAAUAGUGAAGGCGUCUUCCGUUUUCCACGGGUUUCCUGUGCAGCAGCUUCUGCAGACGAUGCUGAUCUGGAUCCUGGUGUUGCUGAGCUUCCUCCACAACCCUUACUCGAGAAACUUGCAAAGGAACUUCGUCGCCGACUGGGUCUCCGGCUGUUCAAUUUAGACAUAAUCCGAGAGCAUGGGACCAGAGAUCAAUUUUUUGUCAUUGACAUCAACUAUUUCCCUGGAUAUGGGAAAAUGCCAGAAUAUGAGCAUAUAUUUACAGACUUCCUGUUGAGCCUGGGGCAGAGUCAAUACAAGAAAAGAUCCUCCUAGGAACUGUUGGGAAGUGUUUCUGACAUAAGAAUUGCACUAUAUGAAAAUCAUGAUGUUGCUUGAAUAAGUGUUUGUGGGAUGAGAGCUCUUGCUUUGCUAAACCAUGUAAUAGCAUAAUGUAGUUCCUGCCAGCGGCUGGAGGAGGACAUGCGCAAUGCUCCCACCCUUCAACUUCUGUAGCUACUGACUUGCUGAGAGAAGAAAAGGAGGAGUGGGGGCUAUCAAUUUUUUGCUACGAUUCAUGAAAUAUUGCACGUGAAGCCACUGUCGACGCUCGAAUGUGUAGAAAAUUCAAUCCAGCAACUUAAACCCACAAAUGGACAGGACAUGGCGACUUGCUGAGAUGAUUUUUCUUAAACUGGGGAUUGAAUAAAAUCACGAGUCUAGAUGAAUCAAAUUGGGGAGAUUAUGCAUACGACAAAAAGUAGCACAAUCAUUAAGGAAAACAAAAAUUAUGUCAAACUCGUAGCAAUUUAGCUUAAUAAAUUCAAUGUAUAACUGAAAUAUGAGUUGUAAAAAUUAAAUAAAACACAUUUGGCCGGUGCUUCACUGGUUAGGAUAGUCUUCACUCUUCCGUACACAUUGUUCUGGUAAUGUACAUUAGACUGUUUUGAUUAGCAGAAGUAUUCAGAUAUCAUCUUGAAAAUGAAUAA